rnacentral:rRNA from 1 species
AUGGGGAAGAAAAACGAUCUGGAGGCUUAUCUGGAAGGGCUCGCAAAGAAGUUAUUCCUCAUGCUUGAAGAAUUCUGCCAAAACUUUGAGGAGGAGACCAGUCGACUGGAGACAAACUUGGACCCCAUUAACUCUCCUGUGAAGGACGAGGCUGCUAUGAACGUGUUCCGACUGGAGUCUCGUGUUGCUGGUGUGGUGGACUACCUCGCUCGACUGAAAGUUGCGGUGUCGCGGAUCGACACGACACUCUGGCCAAGAGAGACGCUUCAAAAUGACCUAGAGUCUUUAAUGACUCGACUGAAUGACGUUCGAGGUCGAGUGCAGGAAUGGAAGAAGUCUUCCACCAGGUGUGUGCUGAUGUUGCUCUGUCCCUGGUACAUGUUCACUGCAAGGAUGCUCAAGAGGACAAGCUGGCGUCCAUCAGGGUGGCCAAUACCAAGAAGCAUGACUUCCAAUCUUUCAUGGAGACCUUCAUUGCUGCUGCCACUCGGAUUGCUGAUGGAAUCGACCUGGACCAGUUUGUCGCGCCCUCUAGUCCUCCACCCGAGGAGUAAGAAAAACUUUUAA